rnacentral:rRNA from 1 species
CAAUAGCGUAUAUUAAAGUUGUUGCGGUAAAAAAGCUCGUAGUUGGAUUUCUGUUGAAGACGACCGGUCCAUACCACGUAUGCGCAUCUGGCUCGGCUUCGGCAUCCUCUCGAAAGACGUUUCUGCGCUUGAUUGCGUGGAGCGGAUCUCGGGACUUUUACUUUGAGGAAAUUAGAGUGUUCACGGCAGGCUAUCGCCAGAAUACAUUAGCAUGGAAUAAUACUAUAGGAUCUUGGUUCUAUUUUGUUGGUUUCUAGAAUUGAGAUAAUGAUUAAUAGGGACAAUUGGGGGCAUUCGUAUCAACACGUUAGAGGUGAAAUUCUUGGAUCGUGUUGCGACGAACUACUGCGAAAGCAUUUGCCAAGGAUGUUUUCAUUGA